rnacentral:lncRNA from 1 species
GGGGAGGAGGCGGGCGCUGUGCAAGGGAGGCUGGGCGCCGCUACCCUAGCGGGGGGCCUCUGCCGGGCGCGGCUAGCGGUCUUUUCUGCUGUGGUGGCAGCGACGACUGCGGGAGACGGGAGACGCAGGGUCGGAAAUGCGUGGUGGGCUGGGUCCGGCCUUGAGCCAGAGUCCGCUGGGCCUGAGGCGUCCGAGUCAGCCGUGGAGGAAAACGAAGAUGACAUCCAGUUUGUGAGUGUAAGUAGCAGCGGUGUUUGGGUUUUCCCGAGUCAGAGAUUGUGCGGGACAAGCCACGAUGUGAUUUCCCCUCGCCUGUUCACUCAUCGUCCAGCAAACGUGUGGACGUCUCAUACCGACUGGACACUGUGGAGCAGGGCACAGGAGUGGGUAUCAGACUGGACACCGUGGAGCAGGACACAGGAGCGGGUAUCAGAGUGGACACCGUGGCAGGGCACAGGAGUGGGUAUCAGAGUGGACACCGUGGCAGGACACAGGAGCGGGUAUCAGUGGACACCGUGGAGCAGGGCACAGGAGUGGGUAUCAGAUCGAUGUGGACUCGGGGGACCGGGGGACGGGGGCGGGUCUAACUGGACACCGUGGAGCAGGGCACAGGAGUGGGUAUCAGAGUGGACACCGUGGAGCAGGGCACAGGAGUGAAAGGUUGUUUUUGAAUCAUGCAAAGACGCUGGGAUUCUUGGCCCCUGGAGGAGAAGAAUUCAAUCCAGGGCCAGAAACGAGGCGUGAUUGCUCAGAGCUUUUGUGUAAUAGUUUUAUUAAAGUAUAAAGGAGAUAGAGAAAGCUUCUGACAUAGGCAUCAAAAGAUGGCAGAAAGAGUACCCCCCUGCUAGUCUUCAGCUGGAUGUUAUAUACAUACAACAUACUUUUGUAUGUAUGUGAAGUCCCUCAGUUGUGUCUGACUCUUUGUGACCCCGUGGACUGUAGCCUACCAGUCUCCUCUGUCCAUGGGAUUCUCCAGGCAAGAGUACUGGAGUGGGUUGCCAUUUCCUUCUCCAGGGGAUCUUCCGGACCCAGGGAUUGAACCCUGGUCUCCCGCAUUGCAGGCAGACUGCUUUAAUCUCUGAGCCACCAGGGCAGCUAGCAGUCACUAGCAGUCUGUUAAUAAAAGAAAGAAGUGUCUUAAAACUCA